UCCGACUAUAUCCAGUCGGAACUUCUCUGCCUCACACACCAGUUCGGGCUCCUUCCCUGCCAGAGAGGUGACAUUCCAUGUCCCAAGAGCUAGCUUCUGCAGCCGAGGAUCGGAUCGCCAGAGGGGACCCACGUUGCCUCUUCGGGCUGAGCCCGGCCGGGCCCCAUGGGUGUAGGCCCGGCCACCAGGCGCUCGCCAACGAGCCCCACCUCCAGGCCUGGCUCCAGAGGGCGGCCCCGGUGACCCGCGUCCGGGCAAGGGAAACUGAGUACCAUCAAUUUUAUUUUUCAUAAGGGGCUUUGUGAGCCGUGCUUUGUCUGGUCCCUCACCUAGGACCUGUUUGCCAUGGGUGACCCUGCCAGGGGCAUAAAGCCCCAGACAACUUAGCUCCUAGGAUCAUUGGGACACACAAACCCCUCCACCACGGUAAGGUGACGGGUCACGGAGAGGGCGUUUCGUACCUACCCGUUCAUAUUUGUGAUAACAAUGUGAUGACUAGCGUAGCGCAAUGGUUGAUAUAGAAUAGGGAAGCUGCAAUCAUGCUCUUUUUAACGAUGCCAAAAUAUAAUUUUUUAACUCUGGGUCAGUGUUACUCAUUUUGCUGUGGCAGCUCACUUAUGUUCACAUGAGCACAUUAAUUAAAAGUCACUGACACAGUUUGUCAAAUGCUUGUUUGCUUGCACUGGACCCAGUUUGAUCUCUGGCCAAACAGCCUGCCUUUGCAUCCAGUAUUUGUUUUCAUAUAUGUUGAAUUACCGUAAAUACAUCUGUUCGGUAAUUCCAUUGAAGAAACUGGAGCAUGGACAGAAAGUUGACAUUGAUAUUUGAUCAGUGGUAGUGUAUACACGCAGCAAGAGUCACUUUCAAUCAUUUAGUCCAGUGGUCACCAAACUACGGCCCACGGGCCGAAUCCGGCCCACCUCCACAUUUGGUCCGGCCCCCUGAACAAUACCAGAGAGUCUUUUGAUUUAUUUUUCAUCUAUGUAUAUUUGUAUUUUAUCAUAAAAUUUGGCUUUUGCAAUAACAUAUUCCUUAGUUAUGAACUAUUUUCAUGAUUAACUAUUAGCUAGUAACAAUUUUAUAAACACAUACAGUAUAACGUGACAUUUGUUCCAUCCUUCUGCGGUCUGUGCCGUUAUCUGGCAACCCCAGGAAAAAAAUCCUAAACCCGUCCCUCUCAAAGAGAACGUAAUCAUGGCAAAAAGGUGAGGUAAGAGAAAAAAAAAUAUUCAGAAUACAGGGAAUGUAACCCAAAAUGGAGAAACAUUUGUUUUUUUCAAGGCAAAGAAAUAAUUGUCUGUCUCAUCUGUCGGUGGCGGUAUUCAAAGAAUACAAUCUGCUGAGACACUAUGAAUCCCGUCACAACAACAAGUACAAUUUUUUGCAUGGGCAAAUGAGAGCAGACAAACUGUCAACGCUAAAAAGAGCAACGUUAGCUCAGCAAAAUACAUUUGUACGCCAAGCUCAGCUGAACCAGCCAUCUGUUUGGGCUAGCUUUCGGUUUGCUCAACUGAUAGCAAGCAGCGGUAAGGAGAGUUUGUGAAGAAAUGCAUGAAUGCUGUCGCAGAGGUGGUGUGUCCCGAGAAGAAAGACGUCUUUAAUACCGCGAGUGUAUCAAAAAAGUUAUUUGAUUUUGUGUGGGUUUCUGGGAAACAAUACAUUUUUACGUCUAGAUACUCUUGCAGUCACAAUUUUGCUGUUACAAACUGACCCCGGCCCCCCCAUCAGAGAAGCGAAAAGUUAUGUGCCCCUCACAGGAAAAAGUUUGGGGACCACUGAUUUGUUGUCUGUGAGUGUUAAUGCAACAUGUUCAUAUGAAGAUCUUGAACCCUUUCAGGAACAACAGUGGACAUUUUAUCAUGUUGUCAGGUUACAGGUUAUCAUUAUUGGUGCAUGAAAGGGUUCAAAUUCGCUCUAGGUUUCAAGGAAUACAGUCCAACAUAAUGUCAGUACUCGCCCAUAAAGGCAAAAUUUUGCCUUCAACAUAGGUGUCGUAAAAUGUACUGUAUGUCCACAGCUGUAGUUAAUCCUUGAAUUUUGUCUACUUCUUAGAGAAUCUUGCGCCCUCAAAAAUUUGACUUGAAUCACGCAAAUUAAAUAUUCAUGAGAAGAGCAAGGCAGGCAGUAGAAUAAGUCCGGUACUUUCAUCAUCAAUUGUUUUCUCGUGAAUUUAUCUGUUGAGGGUGAUUUAAAAAGUGUUUGCAGUGCAAAUUACAUGUUGUUAUUUUUAUUUUUUUCUACAAAGAUGGCUUCCUCUUGUCACCUUUCUAUGGAUAAAGUCAACAAAACUGUUUGACCUUCACUUAUGUUAAAUUCAGUAAUCUUUUACCCUGUUAUUUGCCAGUUAUUUUAGGUCUGCCUAUUGAAUCCGGUCAAUUUGGCUUUUUUGUUUUGACUGUAAAAAUUCUCUUUGCAUCCACUCGCAUAAAUUCAGUUUAGUAAAAAAUAAAGUAAAA